rnacentral:tRNA from 1 species
AGGCCGGUGGUGAAAUGGUAUCACGGCAGUCUCCAAAACUGCAAUUCUAGGUUCAAUUCCUAGUCGGUUUGCCA